rnacentral:rRNA from 1 species
CACGUAGGCGGCUUGGUAAGUCAGAUGUGAAAGCCCGGGGCUUAACCCCGGAAGUGCAUUUGAUACUGUCAAGCUUGAGUAUGGGAGAGGGAAGUGGAAUUCCUGGUGUAGAGGUGAAAUUCGUAGAUAUCAGGAGGAACACCGGUGGCGAAGGCGACUUCCUGGACCAAUACUGACGCUGAGGUGCGAAGGCGUGGGUAGCAAACAGGAUUAGAUACCCUGGUAGUCC